UACGUAGGGUGCGAGGGUUGUCCGGAAUUAUUGGGCGUAAAGAGCUCGUAGGCGGUCUGUCGCGUCGGCUGUGAAAACCCGGAGCUCAACUCCGGGCCUGCAGUCGAUACGGGCAGACUGGAGUUCGGCAGGGGAGACUGGAAUUCCUGGUGUAGCGGUGAAAUGCGCAGAUAUCAGGAGGAACACCGGUGGCGAAGGCGGGUCUCUGGGCCGAUACUGACGCUGAGGGGCGAAAGCGUGGGGAGCGAACAGG
rnacentral:rRNA from 1 species